GCUGCUAAUUGACACAUCGACUGUGUUGACACAGUCCAGGCUGCUAAUUGACACAUCGGCUGCGUUGACACAGUCCAGGCUGCUAAUUGACACGUGAACUGCACCGGUGCAGUUUAGACUGCAUCGGCUGCUUGGCACAGUACAGGCUGCGCCACUUAGUCCAGGGGGCGUCGACUCAGUGCAGAGGGCGUUGACGCAGCAAAAGCCCGCCGCACAGUGUAUUUAAGGAAGUGGGUUUGGCGACACAAUGCCACUUGCCGAAACAAGCCAGACCUCACUCACGCUCGCUUGUCGAAGUUCGUGUCAGUGCAGACUUCGUGUUCGUGCCUUGCCUUCCUUGCCGAUUAUGGAGCAGAGACGCAAAUCAUCCGCCGUGUGGGACCAUUUUGAUGUCCCGGAGAAUAAGGUGAAAUGUCGAAUUUGCCGGGUCGAAUUGUCAUACACCAACAGAAGCACCUCCACCAUGCUGAGGCAUUAUCGGGCCAAGCAUGAGAAUGAAGUUCGCGAUACACCCAGUAUUACGCCAGGUUCCACGAAGCAGCUGUACUGGAAGGACCAACACACUUCUUUCCCAAACCUCUCCCACCUCGCAAAGGAGUUCCUUUGUACGCUAGCCUCAUCCGUCCCUUGUGAGCGUGUG